AUGGAGGCAGAGCUGAAGGGUGGAUCUGAUAAUUCUCUGGCCAACGGAAGUUCCAAUUCUGCCAAACGAGGCAGAGGCAGGCCAAAAGGGUCAGUUAAGAAAGUGGUCGUCUCCGUGACGGAGGUACCACACAAUGCCAGAGCACCGAAAAGAAUCGAUUUUUUUUGUCCAGAAACAGUGCUGAAAACGAAAGUGAAGAAGCGCGGCCGCCCUAAGAAGAUAAGAGUUCUAGGACGGCCGAGAAAAAUCCCUCUAACGCCAGAAGAGGAAGGGGAGAGAAUUUUGAGGUUGAGCCGUCAAAAGAAACGGAAGCUUUCAAAGCCUCUUGGGAGGCCAGGUAUCCAUCCCCUUGUAAGUAACCCAGCGCAGAAAAAGGGAAGAGGCCGACCUCGCAAAUAUGAAGCCUUGUCAAGAGCGUCCCCGCUAAAGAGUACAGCCCCGGGCACACCGCAAAAGAGGGGAAGGCCACAAGGUUCGUUUAAGAACAACCUGGGUUCGCCAGUCGGUUCAAGUCCAGCAAAAAGCCCAAUCGGGGGAACUGGUAGAAGAAGGGGACGACCUCCUGGUUCUGGAAGAAAGAUAACAGCCACUCCAGCAUCAAACGGAUCACCUCGGAAAAGGGGCAGACCCCCAGGCUCUGGAAACAAGUUAAAAAUCACCACUCCGGUGGCCGGCGGUACACCUGGAAAGAGAGGGCGGCCGCCAGGAUCUGGGCUGAAAAUUAAGCUUGCAGCACGGGUCAGUGAUGGAGUUCCUCGCAAGAGGGGGAGACCACCAGGCUCUGGAAACAAGCUAAAAAUCACCAAACAGGACAUAAACAGCACCCCCCGAAAAAGGGGAAGACCGUCAGUUUCAGGAAAUGCAACGACUCCCAGCAGCAGCAAUGCAGUCAGUACUCCCAGCGGCCAAACACGUAAAAGGGGCCGUCCCAGCAAAACAGGCCUGGCUCAAGCCUCUUUAGAAAGUAAUGCUGAAGAAGAGGAUGCUGAGGUGAAUGAUGCUUCCACACCUAAACGACCCCGUAGCGCAUUCACCUCAUCUGAGGGCGAGGAGGCAGAGACAGUGGUGCAGUCUGAAGAUCCAAAUGCCAGUGAGAAUGAGGUUGUGAUGAUAGUUGGUGAUAGUGAGUUGAAGGAUCAGGUGGAAGAGGUUCAGGAGGUUCUUUUAACAGGGAGUGAAAGUAACAGCAAAAAAAGUGCCAGGGGAGCAGGUAAAACCCCCAAAAAGAAGUAA
rnacentral:lncRNA from 1 species